rnacentral:rRNA from 1 species
AUAAGCGGAGGAAAAGAAACUAACAAGGAUUCCCCUAGUAACGGCGAGUGAAGCGGGAAGAGCUCAAAUUUGAAAUCUGGCAGUCUUCGAUUGUCCGAGUUGUAAUCUAUAGAGGCGUUUUCCGUGCCGGACCGUGUCCAAGUCUCCUGGAAAGGAGUAUCAAAGAGGGUGAUAAUCCCGUACUUAACACGACCACCGGUGCUCUGUGAUACGUCUUCUACGAGUCGAGUUGUUUGGGAAUGCAGCUCAAAAUGGGUGGUGAAUUCCAUCUAAAGCUAAAUAUUGGCGAGAGACCGAUAGCGAACAAGUACCGUGAGGGAAAGAUGAAAAGCACUUUGGAAAGAGAGUUAAACAGUACGUGAAAUUGUUGAAAGGGAAACGAUUGAAGUCAGUCGUGUUCUUUGGAUUCAGCCAGUUCUGCUGGUCUACUUCCUUUGAACGGGUCAACAUCAGUUUUGUCCGGUGGAUAAAGGUAGUAGGAAUGUGACUUCUCCGGAAGUGUUAUAGCCUAUUAUCACAUACACUGGGUGAGACCUGAGGACUGCAGCUCGCCUUUAGUGCCGACCUUCGGGUACGUUCGAGCUUAGGAUGUUGACAUAAUGG